rnacentral:rRNA from 1 species
AGUGAACGCUGGCGGUAGGCCUAACACAUGCAAGCCGAACGGCAGCACAGUAAGAGCUUGCUCUUACGGGUGGCGAGUGGCGGACGGGUGAGGAAUACAUCGGAAUCUACUUUUUCGUGGGGGAUAACGUAGGGAAACUUACGCUAAUACCGCAUACGACCUACGGGUGAAAGCAGGGGAUCUUCGGACCUUGCGCGAUUGAAUGAGCCGAUGUCGGAUUAGCUAGUUGGCGGGGUAAAGGCCCACCAAGGCGACGAUCCGUAGCUGGUCUGAGAGGAUGAUCAGCCACACUGGAACUGAGACACGGUCCAGACUCCUACGGGAGGCAGCAGUGGGGAAUAUUGGACAAUGGGCGCAAGCCUGAUCCAGCCAUACCGCGUGGGUGAAGAAGGCCUUCGGGUUGUAAAGCCCUUUUGUUGGGAAAGAAAAGCAGCAGGCUAAUACCCCGCUGUUCUGACGGUACCCAAAGAAUAAGCACCGGCUAACUUCGUG